rnacentral:lncRNA from 1 species
AAAGUCCCAAACAGAACAGGGGCAUCCGGUAGACCGGGGCAAGUUGUUUGACCGGUUGAGAUAACUCGUACUGUUGAGUUCGAAUCAGUGCACUUAUGGAGUGUUGUCCAGCAAGCUGCCGAGGCUUAUUGUGAACGAAAGAGGAGUCGAGGUCGAUCCUGCUAAAAAAAAAAGAGAAAAAAAAAAGAAAAAACAAUACUAGAAACGCCUGAACAAGAAAAAAGAAAGAGGUCAAACGGUCAGGUAGGAUGAUGAUUGCCAAAGGGCAUUGAAAAAUGAAAAAAGAUAAGUUGCAGGAACCUCUGAUUCUGAUACCUUCCGUGGGAUGAACAACU